rnacentral:sRNA from 1 species
GCUUUCAACAUCCCCGUUUCGGAUCUGAGCGAAGCGACAGGUGAUUCCACCUGCUGCGAGCAGCUGUCCGGAGCUGAAGGC